UACGUAGGGUGCGAGCGUUGUCCGGAAUUAUUGGGCGUAAAGAGCUCGUAGGCGGUCUGUCGCGUCGGUCGUGAAAACUUGGGGCUUAACCCUGAGCUUGCGGUCGGAUACGGGCAUGGACUGGAGUUCGGCAGGGGAGACUGGAAUUCCUGGUGUAGCGGUGAAAUGCGCAGAUAUCAGGAGGAACACCGAUGGCGAAGGCAG
rnacentral:rRNA from 1 species